AACGAACGCUGGCGGCGUGGAUUAGGCAUGCAAGUCGAGCGAGAAAGGGGAGCAAUCCCUGAGUAAAGCGGCGAACUGGUGAGUAACAGGUGGGCAAUGUGCCCCAAAGUGGGGGAUAACUCCGAGAAAUCGGAGCUAAUACCGCAUGUGGUGUCAUAGGCUUCGGCUCGUGACAUUAAAGAAGGGCUCCGCAAGGAGCAAUUCGCUAGG
rnacentral:rRNA from 1 species